AGGGUUUGAUCCUGGCUCAGGAUGAACGCUGGCGGCGUGCUUGAUACAUGCAAGUCGAACGAACCGAUCCGAGGUGAACGGGAUAGAAGAUGUGGAAGAUGAGAAAUCGUUAGAAGCGUUGGACAGACUAGAAGCCUCAAUGUCGGUUAGUGGCGAACGGGUGAGUAACACGUGGGUAAUCUGCCUCAAAGUGGGGAACAACUGUUCGAAAGAGCAGCUAAUUCCGCAUGUGAUCCAGCAAUGGAUGAAAGGGUCUUCGGACUCGCUUUGAGAUGAGCCCGCGGCCGAUUAGCUAGUUGGUAAGGUAACGGCUUACCAAGGCGACUAUCGGUAGCUGGUCUGAGAGGAUGAUCAGCCACACUGGGACUGAGACACGGCCCAGACUCCUACGGGAGGCAGCAGUAAGGAAUAUUGCACAAUGGGGGAAACCCUGAUGCAGCAACGCCGCGUGAACGAAGAAGGCCUUCGGGUUGUAAAGUUCUUUUCUGGGGGAAGAGAUAGGACGGUACCCCAGGAAUAAGUCUCGGCUAACUACGUGCCAGCAGCCGCGGUAAGACGUAGGAGGCAAGCGUUAUCCGGAUUCAUUGGGCGUAAAGGGCAAGUAGGCGGUAGCAAAAGUUAGGUGUGACAUCUCCCGGCUCAACUGGGAGGGAGCGCUUAAAACUAGGCGACUAGAGGACAGGAGAGGGAGGCGGAACUCCUAGUGUAGCGGUGGAAUGCUCAGAUACUAGGAAGAACACCAGUGGCGAAGGCGGCCUCCUGGACUGUACCUGACGCUGAGAGGCGAAAGCUAGGGUAGCAAACGGGCUUAGAUACCCCGGUAGUCCUAGCUGUAAACGGUGGAUACUGGGUAAUGGGGGUAAUCACUCCUCCAGUGCCGAAGCAAACGCGUUAAGUAUCCCGCCUGGGGACUACGAUCGCAAGGUUAAAACUCAAAGGAAUUGACGGGGACCCGCACAAGCAGCGGAGCGUGUGGUUUAAUUCGAUGUUACACGAAGAACCUUACCUGGGUUUGACAUGUAUGUAGUAGGGAGCCGAAAGGUAACCGAGUCUUCGGACAGCAUACACAGGUGCUGCAUGGCUGUCGUCAGCUCGUGCCGUGAGGUGUCGGGUUAAGUCCCGUAACGAGCGCAACCCUCGUUGCUAGUUACAAGUGUCUAGCGAGACUGCCGGCAUAUAACCGGAGGAAGGCGGGGAUGACGUCAAGUCAUGGCCUUUAUAUCCAGGGCUACACACACGCUACAAUGGCUGGUACAAAGGGUAGCGAAGCCGCGAGGCGGAGCCAAUCUCAGAAAGCCAGUCUCAGUUCAGAUUGUAGGCUGCAACUCGCCUGCAUGAAGUUGGAGUUGCUAGUAACCGCAGGUCAGCAAUACUGCGGUGAAUACGUUCCCGGGUCUUGUACACACCGCCCGUCACGUCAUGGAAGCUGGUAAUACCUAAAAUCGGUGAGCUAACCGCAAGGGGGCAACUGCUUAAGGUAGGACUAGUAACUGGGACGAAGUCGUAACAAGGUA
rnacentral:rRNA from 1 species